UGCGAUUGACGCUGAAACAGAAGAGAGUAAGAAGAGCGCCUGCUACAUAAUGCGGCAGCAGUAAUGGCCAAAGGCAAAACUAGCUAGCAGUCCUCGCUGGCUUUGUCCAUUGACAAGUCAAACUGCCCGCGGGCCGAGAGCGGCGGGUUUUUAUGCCUCCCUAGCAGAAGUGCCAUCGUGGAGCCACCUAACGACGACACAAUGAGGGAGCAUAAUUCCGCCCUGUUCAUUUUAGCGCUUACGGUCCUUGCUACACUACUCCCCACGACUAUAAGUCUAAAAAGAGGUAUGUCGUAGCGAAGGGCCAACCUAGGGAACAAAACAGAGGGAAAGGCAUGCACAAAAUGGAAGAAAAAAAAACAGUUCCAGCAGUGAAAAGAGAAAAUAAAACAUGCAAAAAUUAACACAGUAGUUCCAAAAUACAGCAUGUACCACGUAAAAAAAAUAUCAAAAAUGUGGAAAAAGUCAAAACGUACUAAAAUGUUGAAAUAAAAUGCGUGGAAAAUGCCAAGAUGUGUAAAAGUCAGAGGACGGUAUAUAUAGUCUUACACAAUUUUUUGGCCAGUGUACUCGACGCCCAGCCCGGGUAAUCGUGACAUGUGACGGUGGAGCGGGAGAUACAUGCUUGUGUGAUGGUGGUGUUUGCGUGAGUACGGUGUUUGCAGAUAUCAGAGAUGGAAAGUGGAUGGGGAUAUUUGGUUCUGGAGUAAGAGCUUCAGAAAAAAACUUGCUUCACCCUAUCAUUUGAAACAAUCUGUUUAGAUCCAUUAAUGUCUAUGGAAAGCACUUUUGACGUUCUUUCCCAGGACACGAUAAGGUCUCUUAUAGGGUUGAGUAAGAGGACCUCUCACAAAAUCGUCCCUGGAGAAACGUGGGCCCAUUUAUCAAUUUUCGCUGGAACACCAGCAGGCACAGUUUGAAGUCUAGAAGACAUCGGUGGAAGGUCAGAGAAAUAGGUUUGCAGGCGAUGAACGUAGGUAGCUGAAUCUUGUGCUGAAAUAUCCACAGGGACCAGAAUUUGGCCGAGUAAAGACAGUGGCGAUCCAUAUGAGAAUUCCGCGGCAGACAAUCCCAAAUCCUCUUUCACGAAGGAGCGACAACCUAAAAGAACGAGGGGAAGGUACUCGCUCCACCUUUGAGGAUCAGAGUAUGCGAGGAAAGAUGCUUUUUAUUGUUGUGAAAGCGUUCGACUAUACCGUUCGAAGCUGGGUGGCAGCUAGUCGUACAACUAUGGCGAACUCCCAGGAUAGCAGAAAGUUGGUUGAACAGCCGUGAUUCAAACUGACUUCCACGAUCCGUCGUAAUGCGUAACGGAACACCAAAGCGGGAAAUCCAACCUGAGAUAAGGUCUUGUGCCACGGAUUCAGCACUUAUGUUGAUAAGUGGAAUGGCUUCAGGCCAACGCGAAAACCGAUCAGAUAAUGAUGUAUGUGAACCCGCGGCUAGGUGGUUAAAGCCCAACUAAAUCGCUAUGUAUACGUCGGAAGCGGGCGUCUGGGUACUGACACGAACCAAGAGGUGCAUGAACAUGGCGAUGAACCUUAGAACAUUGACACUGAAGGCAUGUGCGUGCCCAUUCGGUGAUUUGAUGUCUCAUAUUUGGCCAAAAGAUAAAACGAGCAGAAAUAAGCUUCACAGAAGCUGUUACACCAGGAUAUGAUAAGGUAUGCAGGGCGUUGAAGACAGUGCGACGAUGAGACCCUGGUACGAGUGGACGGGAUGAACCAGUAGAUGUAUCACACAAUAUCUUUCAGUCUGAAGCUGGUAAUGGCAAAUACUUGAAAUGGCAUGUUGCGAAUUCUUCAGAUGUAACAUCCAAAGACGAUAGUAGUGGUUGGUCAGCUGCCAAGGCAAUCAAAUCUAUCAUAGAAGCAGACGACAGUGGACAGGUAAGCGGGAUAAAGCAUCAGCAAC
rnacentral:lncRNA from 1 species